rnacentral:rRNA from 1 species
GAUGAACGCUGGCGGCGUGCCUAAUACAUGCGAGUCGAGCGAACGGACGAGAAGCUUGCUUCUCUGAUGUUAGCGGCGGACGGGUGAGUAACACGUGGAUAACCUACCUACAAGACUGGGAUAACUUCGGGAAACCGUAGCUAAUACCGGAUAAUAUUUUGAACCGCAUGGUUCAAAAGUGAAAGACGGUCUUGCUGUCACUUAUAGAUGGAUCCGCGCUGCAUUAGCUAGUUGGUAAGGUAACGGCUUACCAAGGCAACGAUGCAUAGCCGACCUGAGAGGGUGAUCGGCCACACUGGAACUGAGACACGGUCCAGACUCCUACGGGAGGCAGCAGUAGGGAAUCUUCCGCAAUGGGCGAAAGCCUGACGGAGCAACGCCGCGUGAGUGAUGAAGGUCUUCGGAUCGUAAAACUCUGUUAUUAGGGAAGAACAUAUGUGUAAGUAACUGUGCACAUCUUGACGGUACCUAAUCAGAAAGCCACGGCUAACUACGUG